rnacentral:rRNA from 1 species
GGCGGACGGGUGAGUAAUGCCUAGGAAAUUGCCCUGAUGUGGGGGAUAACCAUUGGAAACGAUGGCUAAUACCGCAUAAUGCCUACGGGCCAAAGAGGGGGACCUUCGGGCCUCUCGCGUCAGGAUAUGCCUAGGUGGGAUUAGCUAGUUGGUGAGGUAAUGGCUCACCAAGGCGACGAUCCCUAGCUGGUCUGAGAGGAUGAUCAGCCACACUGGAACUGAGACACGGUCCAGACUCCUACGGGAGGCAGCAGUGGGGAAUAUUGCACAAUGGGCGCAAGCCUGAUGCAGCCAUGCCGCGUGUGUGAAGAAGGCCUUCGGGUUGUAAAGCACUUUCAGUCGUGAGGAAGGUAGUGUAGUUAAUAGCUGCAUUAUUUGACGUUAGCGACAGAAGAAGCACCGGCUAACUCCGUGCCAGCAGCCGCGGUAAUACGGAGGGUGCGAGCGUUAAUCGGAAUUACUGGGCGUAAAGCGCAUGCAGGUGGUUUGUUAAGUCAGAUGUGAAAGCCCGGGGCUCAACCUCGGAAUUGCAUUUGAAACUGGCAGACUAGAGUACUGUAGAGGGGGGUAGAAUUUCAGGUGUAGCGGUGAAAUGCGUAGAGAUCUGAAGGAAUACCGGUGGCGAAG